GAUCUCUUCCUAGAGACCAGCCCCGCCAAGCGGGCCCAUAACCACGAGGCUGAGAGCUUCCUGAUGCCCUCGCUCAGCCUGGGCUUUCUGCUCAGCGUGGAAGAGUGUCUGGAUGGCCGGUCCGAGCGGGGCUGCGGGGGCACCGUGGCCCUGGGCAAGAAGCUGCUGGCCCUGGAGGAACCCAUGGGCCUCUUAGGAGACAUGCUGCCCUUCGUCGUGGACGGCCCAGCGCUCUCCCAGCUGGCCCUGUAUGAU